rnacentral:miRNA from 1 species
CUAUUUCAGCAGGGUGUGCAAGUUGGCACGCCUGUAACAGCAGCACUGGGGAGGCUGAGGCAGGAGGA